GACCACAUAGCUCAAUCGGAUAGAGCAAUCGCCUUCUAAGCGAUGGGUUGCGGGUUCGAAUCCCGCUGUGGUCGCCA
rnacentral:tRNA from 1 species